rnacentral:lncRNA from 1 species
CCUUCUUGGCAUUUUCUUCUAAAUCAAUUUAAAGUUUAUUGUUGUACCAGAAGACACCUUUAUUCUUGCCGCUCUCAUCAGGCUCGACGUACAUGCAUUCCUUUGCUUCCCUCCACAUAGCCUUGAAGACCGGAGUCUCAUCGAGCCUAUAAUAGUCUCCGAGUAUUGGCCUGAUUACCUUUGUGGCCUCCAUCGCAUGAUAAUGUGGCAUUGUCGAGAACAAAUGGUGAGCCACGUGGGUGUCGGUAAUGUUAUGCAUGAUCUUGUUUAGGAUUCCGUAGUCUCUAUCAACUGUUGCCAAAGCACCCCUUAACCAAUCCCACUCGGUUUUGUUGUAAUGUGGCAAUGCAGGGUGAGUGUGCUGCAAAAACGUUAUAAGAACAAGAAAGCCAUUGACGACAAGUAAAGGAGCUCCAUAAACACAAAGUACCCAAGCAAGACCUUUUGCUGCAGCCAGUCGGUAUAAACCAAAAGUCACAGCAAGUACGCCAGCAUCAGAAACAAGGAUUUGGGCACGUUCACGGUCCGAGUAAAUGGGGCUCUGAGGAUCAUAGUGGCAUGCAAACCUUUCAUAAUGUCUUCCUGAAACAUUAAACAAGAGGUACAACGGCCAACCUAGAGUAAGUGUUACUAGAAGUGUGAGGACUCUACCAGGUGGAUUAUUAAGGUACUUGGCAAAAGAUCUGAGUUCAGCCUUGUGCUUAGGAACGAAGACCUCAUCCUUCUCAAGCGAACCAGUAUUAGAGUGGUGGCGACGAUGACUAUACUUCCAGGAAAAGUAUGGAACAAGGAGAGAUGAAUGGAGGAUAAGGCCAACAGUGUCAUCAAGCCAUUGAUAAUUGCUGAAGGCGUGAUGGCCACAUUCAUGGGCUAUGACCCAAACUCCAGUUAAGAAACAGCCUUGAACGAAACCAUAGAUUGCCCAGGCCACAUAAGAGAAAGGAUGGGGGAGGAGGUGUAUGUAAUUGGUGGCAAUGUAGUAAAGGAUGGAGGCAAUAGUCAGGUCGUAAACAACAUAAGAGAAAGAACGGAUGACAGAUCGCUGAAAACAAUGUGGUGGAAUGGCCUUUUUGAUGUCUCCAACAGUAAAUGGAGGUUUUGCGACUGGAACUCGUUCAAGAACUUCCUCUUGUGACUUUUUAACCUUAGGAUC